GAUGAACGCUAGCGAUAGGCUUAACACAUGCCAGUCGAGGGGCAGCAUGGUCUUAGCUUGCUAAGACUGAUGGCGACCGGCGCACGGGUGCGUAACGCGUAUGCAACUUGCCUCACAGAGGGGGAUAACCCGUCGAAAGACGGACUAAUACCGCGUACACUCCAUCUUGGGCAUCCAAGGUAGAGGAAAUGAAAUUCGCUGUGAGAUAGGCAUGCGUCCCAUUAGCUAGUUGGUGAGGUAACGGCUCACCAAGGCGACGAUGGGUAGGGGAACUGAGAGGUUGAACCCCCACACUGGUACUGAGACACGGACCAGACUCCUACGGGAGGCAGCAGUGAGGAAUAUUGGUCAAUGGGCGAGAGCCUGAACCAGCCAAGUCGCGUGAAGGAUGACUGUCUUAUGGAUUGUAAACUUCUUUUAUACGGGAAUAACAAGAGUCACGGGUGACUCCCUGCAUGUACCGUAUGAAUAAGCAUCGGCUAACUCCGUG
rnacentral:rRNA from 1 species